rnacentral:rRNA from 1 species
UACAGAGGUCCCGAGCGUUGUUCGGAUUCACUGGGCGUAAAGGGUGCGUAGGUGGUGAGGUAAGUCGGAUGUGAAAUCUCCGAGCUCAACUCGGAAAUGGCAUUGGAAACUACCUUGCUUGAGGGUUGGAGGGGGGACUGGAAUACUUGGUGUAGCAGUGAAAUGCGUAGAUAUCAAGUGGAACACCAGUGGCGAAGGCGAGUCCCUGGACAUCUCCUGACACUGAGGCACGAAAGCUAGGGGAGCAAACAGG